GACGUACGCUGGCGGCGUGCUUAACACAUGCAAGUCGAGCGGUAAGGCCCUUUCGGGGGUACACGAGCGGCGAACGGGUGAGUAACACGUGGGUGACCUGCCCUCAGCUCUGGGAUAAGCCUGGGAAACCGGGUCUAAUACCGGAUAUGACUCCAUGACGCAUGUUGUGGGGUGGAAAGCCUUGUGCGGCUGAGGAUGGGCCCGCGGCCUAUCAGCUUGUUGGUGGGGUGAGGCCUACCAAGGCGACGACGGGUAGCCGGCCUGAGAGGGCGACCGGCCACACUGGGACUGAGACACGGCCCAGACUCCUACGGGAGGCAGCAGUGGGGAAUCUUGCGCAAUGGGCGAAAGCCUGACGCAGCGACGCCGCGUGAGGGAUGACGGCCUGG
rnacentral:rRNA from 1 species